CAGAAAAUAGUUUAUUUAGAACUCCCGCUUUGGGGGCGGGAAGAUAGAUUCUGA
rnacentral:tRNA from 1 species